UGCAAGUCGAGCGGCAGCGACUUAACUGAACCUUCGGGGAACGUUAAGGGCGGCGAGCGGCGGACGGGUGAGUAAUGCCUGGGAAUAUGCCCUGAUGUGGGGGAUAACUAUUGGAAACGAUAGCUAAUACCGCAUAAUCUCUUCGGAGCAAAGAGGGGGACCUUCGGGCCUCUCGCGUCAGGAUUAGCCCAGGUGGGAUUAGCUUGUUGGUGAGGUAAUGGCUCACCAAGGCAACGAUCCCUAGCUGGUCUGAGAGGAUGAUCAGCCACACUGGAACUGAGACACGGUCCAGACUCCUACGGGAGGCAGCAGUGGGGAAUAUUGCACAAUGGGGGAAACCCUGAUGCAGCCAUGCCGCGUGUGUGAAGAAGGCCUUCGGGUUGUAAAGCACUUUCAGUAGGGAGGAAGGUAGUGUAGUUAACACCUGCAUUAUUUGACGUUACCUACAGAAGAAGCACCGGCUAACUCCGUGCCAGCAGCCGCGGUAAUACGGAGGGUGCGAGCGUUAAUCGGAAUUACUGGGCGUAAAGCGCAUGCAGGCGGCCUGUUAAGUCAGAUGUGAAAGCCCGGGGCUUAACCUCGGAAUUGCAUUUGAAACUGGCAGGCUAGAGUCUUGUAGAGGGGGGUAGAAUUUCAGGUGUAGCGGUGAAAUGCGUAGAGAUCUGAAGGAAUACCAGUGGCGAAGGCGGCCC
rnacentral:rRNA from 1 species